UACGUAGGGGGGCAAGCGUUGUCCGGAUUCAUUGGGCGUAAAGAGCGUGUAGGCGGCCAGGUAGGUCGGUUGUGAAAACUGGAGGCUCAACCUUCAGAGGUCGACCGAAACCAUCUGGCUAGAGUCCGGGAGAGGAGAGUGGAAUUCCUGGUGUAGCGGUGGAAUGCGCAGAUAUCAGGAGGAACACCAAUAGCGAAGGCAGCUCGCUGGGACGGUACUGACGCUAAGGCGCGAAAGCGUGGGGAGCAAACAGG
rnacentral:rRNA from 1 species